rnacentral:miRNA from 1 species
UCCUCUUUCUUCCUGGCUCUAG